UACAGAGGGUGCGAGCGUUUAAUCGGAAUUACUGGGCGUAAAGCGCGCGUAGGCGGCUUUGCAAGCCGGAUGUGAAAUCCCCGGGCUUAACCUGGGAACUGCAUUCGGGACUGCAUUGCUAGAGUAUGGGAGAGGGAAGUGGAAUUUCAGGUGUAGCGGUGAAAUGCGUAGAUAUCGGGAGGAACACCAGUGGCGAAGGCGGCUUCCUGGCCUGUUCUUGACGCUGAGGCGCGAAAGCUAGGGGAGCAAACGGGG
rnacentral:rRNA from 1 species